AUUCAUUGGUAGAGUUGCCAGAGAAAAUACAAGAUAACCAGUUGAAUUUGAACUUCAGCUCUUCCAGGAGUCAUGUGCAUUGCCCAAGCUACCCUGCCAAGUGAUGAGAAAGAUGCGGCCUAGUGAUCCUCAUCACCCUCAACCAGUAGACAGUCAAUGCCCAGAAGCAGAGCUGCUUUAGCUCAUUUACAAGUGACCAUAGACAAGAGUGAGGCCAGCCAAGACAAGAAGAACUGACCAUUUAAGCCCAGUUCAGAUCAACAGCCUGUAGAACUGUGAGCUAAGUAAAUGGCUCUUACUAUAGGCCACAAAGUUUUGGAGUGGAUUGUUAUGUGGUAAAAGAUAACUGAGAGAACACAUAAUUCUGGGAAUUACAUCCAUUACUGCUUAAAAUAGCUAGAGUGGUUUCUGUUGCCUGCAAUUGAGCCUUGCCUAUGAUACACUUAAAUUCAGCAUUUCCAAAAUCAAGCUCAUCCAUAUUCCCUGACUGAACCCUGGUUCCCUUCUGGUGUGUUUGCAUCGAGUCAUUUGCAACUCUUUCUUCUCCUUUAACAUUGGUAUCUGAUCCAUCACCAAGAUUUGCCAUUUUUAUUUCCCAAAUAUAUAUUGUGUCUCUCCCUUGUCCACAACCACCCUUAUCCACAUCACUUUUAUUUCUUGCUUGGGUAACAAUAGCCUCCCCAUUGGUUUUCC
rnacentral:lncRNA from 10 species